UACGUAGGGACCAAGCGUUGUUCGGAUUUACUGGGCGUAAAGGGCGCGUAGGCGGCAAUUCAAGUCAUCUGUGAAAUCUCCGGGCUUAACUCGGAACGGUCAGAUGAUACUGCUUGCUAGAGUGCAGAAGGGGCAAUCGGAAUUCUCGGUGUAGCGGUGAAAUGCGUAGAUAUCGAGAGGAACACCAGAGGUGAAGACGGGUUGCUGGGCUGACACUGACGUGGAGGCGCGAAAGCCAGGGGAGCAAACGGG
rnacentral:rRNA from 1 species